rnacentral:rRNA from 1 species
AUUGAACGCUGGCGGCAUGCCUUACACAUGCAAGUCGAACGGUAACGCGGGGCAACCUGGCGACGAGUGGCGAACGGGUGAGUAAUGUAUCGGAACGUGCCCAGUUGUGGGGGAUAACUGCUCGAAAGAGCAGCUAAUACCGCAUACGACCUGAGGGUGAAAGCGGGGGAUCGCAAGACCUCGCGCAAUUGGAGCGGCCGAGAUCAGAUUAGGUAGUUGGAGGGGUAAAGGCCCACCAAGCCAACGAUCUGUAGCUGGUCUGAGAGGACGACCAGCAACACGGGGGCUGCUACACGGCCCAAGCGCCUCCGGGAGGCAGCAGUGGGGAAUUUUGACCAGUGGGCGAAGGUCUGAUCCAGCCAUGCCGCGUGCGGGAAGAAGGCGUUCGGGUUGUAAUCCGCUUUUGUAAGGGAAGCAAAGGGCGACUCUAAUACAGUUGCCUCAUGACGGUACCUGAAGAAUAAGCACCGGCUAACUACGUGCCAGCCGCCGCCGUAAUAC